rnacentral:rRNA from 1 species
GAACGCUGGCGGCGUGCCUAAUACAUGCAAGUCGAGCGGACAGAAGGGAGCUUGCUCCCGGAUGUUAGCGGCGGACGGGUGAGUAACACGUGGGUAACCUGCCUGUAAGACUGGGAUAACUCCGGGAAACCGGAGCUAAUACCGGAUAGUUCCUUGAACCGCAUGGUUCAAGGAUGAAAGACGGUUUCGGCUGUCACUUACAGAUGGACCCGCGGCGCAUUAGCUAGUUGGUGGGGUAAUGGCUCACCAAGGCGACGAUGCGUAGCCGACCUGAGAGGGUGAUCGGCCACACUGGGACUGAGACACGGCCCAGACUCCUACGGGAGGCAGCAGUAGGGAAUCUUCCGCAAUGGACGAAAGUCUGACGGAGCAACGCCGCGUGAGUGAUGAAGGUUUUCGGAUCGUAAAGCUCUGUUGUUAGGGAAGAACAAGUGCGAGAGUAACUGCUCGCACCUUGACGGUACCUAACCAGAAAGCCACGGCUAACUACGUGCCAGCAGCCGCGGUAAUACGUAGGUGGCAAGCGUUGUCCGGAAUUAUUGGGCGUAAAGGGCUCGCAGGCGGUUUCUUAAGUCUGAUGUGAAAGCCCCCGGCUCAACCGGGGAGGGUCAUUGGAAACUGGGAAACUUGAGUGCAGAAGAGGAGAGUGGAAUUCCACGUGUAGCGGUGAAAUGCGUAGAGAUGUGGAGGAACACCAGUGGCGAAGGCGACUCUCUGGUCUGUAACUGACGCUGAGAGCGAAAGCGUGGGGAGCGAACAGGAUUAGAUACCCUGGUAGUCCACGCCGUAAACGAUGAGUGCUAAGUGUUAGGGGGUUUCCGCCCCUUAGUGCUGCAGCUAACGCAUUAAGCACUCCGCCUGGGGAGUACGGUCGCAAGACUGAAACUCAAAGGAAUUGACGGGGGCCCGCACAAGCGGUGGAGCAUGUGGUUUAAUUCGAAGCAACGCGAAGAACCUUACCAGGUCUUGACAUCCUCUGACAACCCUAGAGAUAGGGCUUUCCCUUCGGGGACAGAGUGACAGGUGGUGCAUGGUUGUCGUCAGCUCGUGUCGUGAGAUGUUGGGUUAAGUCCCGCAACGAGCGCAACCCUUGAUCUUAGUUGCCAGCAUUCAGUUGGGCACUCUAAGGUGACUGCCGGUGACAAACCGGAGGAAGGUGGGGGAUGACGUCAAAUCAUCAUGCCCCUUAUGACCUGGGCUACACACGUGCUACAAUGGACAGAACAAAGGGCUGCAAGACCGCAAGGUUUAGCCAAUCCCAUAAAUCUGUUCUCAGUUCGGAUCGCAGUCUGCAACUCGACUGCGUGAAGCUGGAAUCGCUAGUAAUCGCGGAUCAGCAUGCCGCGGGUGAAUACGUUCCCGGGCCUUGUACACACCGCCCGUCACACCACGAGAGUUUGCAACACCCGAAGUCGGUGAGGUAACC